GGAAUUUUGGACAAUGGGCGCAAGCCUGAUCCAGCAAUGCCGCGUGCAGGAUGAAGGCCUUCGGGUUGUAAACUGCUUCUGUACGGAGCGAAACGGCUUCCCCUAAUACGGGGAGCUAAUGACGGUACCGUAAGAAUAAGCACCGGCUAACUACGUGCCAGCAGCCGCGGUAAUACGUAGGGUGCGAGCGUUAAUCGGAAUUACUGGGCGUAAAGCGUGCGCAGGCGGUUAUAUAAGACAGAUGUGAAAUCCCCGGGCUCAACCUGGGACCUGCAUUUGUGACUGUAUAGCUAGAGUACGGUAGAGGGGGAUGGAAUUCCGCGUGUAGCAGUGAAAUGCGUAGAUAUGCGGAGGAACACCGAUGGCGAAGGCAAUCCCCUGGACCUGUACUGACGCUCAUGCACGAAAGCGUGGGGAGCAAACAGGAUUAGAUACCCUGGUAGUCCACGCCCUAAACGAUGUCAACUGGUUGUUGGGUCUUCACUGACUCAGUAACGAAGCUAACGCGUGAAGUUGACCGCCUGGGGAGUACGGCCGCAAGGUUGAAACUCAAAUGAAUUGACGG
rnacentral:rRNA from 1 species